rnacentral:sRNA from 1 species
GCUGGGAAGAAGUCUCUGGAAGACCAGGUGGAGAUGCUGCGGACAGUGAAGGAGGAAGCUGAGAAGCCAGAGAGAGAGGCCAAAGAGCAGCACCAGAAGCUGUGGGAAGAGCAGCUGGCUGCCGCCAAGGCCCAACAGGAGCAGGAGCUGGCGGCUGAUGCCUUCAAGGAGCUGGAUGAUGACAUGGACGGGACGUGAGUGUCCCCUAGUUGGAGCUGCCCACCCUUCCGUGGGCCUGGGUUUCCCUCCCCGCCACCCUCGCCUCUAGAAACCAGCCAGAUCCUCCUUGGGUUCCCCCGGCGUGGGGUCCAGGCUGAUCCCAAGCCCCGUGUGACCCCCCCUCUUACUCAUGGAUGGCCAGGUCCAGGAUGCCCUGGGCGAGGAGAUAGGGGGACCACCCUCUCCCCAGGAGCUGGGCACAGACCCUCAGCCUCAGGGAGUGUGUCUAGGCAUCUAGUGAUCGGAUGGCUUUUCCCAGCCCCACUACGCUCUGGGGAAAGCCAGACCUGGGUUCGAAUCCUGGCUGUGCCUCUGAGCUUGCUGGGUUACCUGGUGGAGGGUGGACUU